CUAAAUGCCGAAGUGUCUGACAAUGGUUCUCCAAAGUUAGUUGAAGUUGAAAAAGGUCUCAUGUUACUUCGAAAUUGUCAGAAAUGGGAAGCCAGAUAACUCCGUGGGAUUGCCUUUAAAAACAUUACAGAAAUCUCCAUUCUGCAAAUCUAAAGAUAAAACUUCAUUUUCUGGACAAGCUGAGCUCUCAUGCAAGAGUGCAAGCAGGUUCAGUCUCAGAAGGGCAGACUUAUAGUAACCGAACUCAUUUGUAAACUGAGCAACCAAGCCCAUUUUUAAGAUCCAGAACCACUGAAGAAACUCAAGCAGUGCUCUUGGCUCUUGGCUCUUAGCUGGUGCACUCUCCCUCUGGGGGCCUACAGGAGGUCCCAAUUAUCAUUAGUGGUUGCUUGGUAAGUUAAAAAAUCUGCAUGUUUUAUGCCCUUGAACUAUAAUCAGCUGGAUGCACCUAUCGCCUCAUAGGUCUACAUUCUGUUGGAACCACAGCAGCCAAGUGCUCAGUGCAGUCGCCCUUUCUCCUUGAUGUGCUGGAUGGUCAUUACCAUAGUCUUGUGGCUGGUUGACCAGCUGUGCUACGU